AUUGAACGCUGGCGGAAUGCUUUACACAUGCACGUCGAGCGGCAGCGCGGCCUUCGGGCUGGCGGCGAGCGGCGAACGGGUGAGUAAUGCAUCGGAACAUGCCCAGUCGUGGGGGAUAACACUUCGAAAGAAGUGCUAAUACCGCAUACGUCCUGAGGGGGGAAGCGGGGGAUCGCAAGACCUCGCGCGAUUGGAGUGGCCGAUGUCAGAUUAGCUAGUUGGUGGGGUAAAGGCCUACCAAGGCGACGAUCUGUAGCCGGUCUGAGAGGAUGAUCAGCCACACUGGGACUGAGACACGGCCCAGACUCCUACGGGAGGCAGCAGUGGGGAAUUUUGGACAAUGGGGGCAACCCUGAUCCAGCCAUUCCGCGUGAGUGAAGAAGGCCUUCGGGUUGUAAAGCUCUUUCGGCAGGAACGAAACGGUGGGCUCUAACAUAGUCCGCUAAUGACGGUACCUGAAGAAGAAGCACCGGCUAACUACGUG
rnacentral:rRNA from 1 species